GGAGUACAGGCCUUAUGAAGAGUGGCUGAAGGAGCUGGGAUUGUUCAGUCUAGAGAAGAGGAGGCUCAGGGGAGACCUUAUUGCUCUCUAUAACUACCUGAAGGGAGGUUGUAGUGAGCCGGGGGUCAGCUUCUUCUCUCGUGUGACUAGUGAUAGGACUAGAGGGAAUGGCUUCAAGCUGCGCCAGGGAAGAUUCAGGCUGGACGUUAGGAAAUACUACUUCUCUGAAAGGGUAGUCAGGCACUGGAGUGGGCUGCCCAGAGAGGUGGUGGAGUCACCGAGCCUGGUGGUGUUCAAGGAACAUUUGGAUGUUGUGUUGAGGGACAUGGUUUAGUGAGAACUAUUGGUGAUGGGUGGAUGGUUGGACUGGGCGAUCCUGUGGGUCUUUUCCAAUCUUGGUGAUUCUGUGAUUCUAUGCUUAGUGAGAACAUCCAGUUACUUUCUUUAUCCUGCAUAUCUGUUAUUUUUGUUAUUAG
ensembl:lncRNA